rnacentral:rRNA from 1 species
GUCACUAUUUCCAAGGUUGA